AGUUGGUGAAAGUUUGAUUCCCAGGAUUUACACGGGGAUCUCGAUACUGAGCACAGGGCCGUUUCCGAGGCUGCCUCUUCACAACAUGGGUCCGACCAACGUCAUCCACAAGUUCUCCGCCGAAGCGGACAACUGACGUGCUUGCACAAAGAAAGGCCACAUAUCUCAGAAGUCUGACUUUCUUUAUGAGGGAGGACAACUCUCUGAAGACAUGUCUGGAUACAGACUCGGAGGAAAUGUGUGCAAAGGGGAUGAACUGCCAUGCCACUGGCCAAUGUAAGACAGAAAUAAGUAGGCUACCAUGCCACUGGCCAAGGUUAAGUAAAAGAGAAGUAAUUAGGCCACUGACUUGUUAAGUUACCUGUUCACUUUUGAUUUGAUUUACUAUUUACCUUUUAUUAUUAUUUAUUUUCAGUGCAGAACUUGAUGUACAGUAAUUUAU